GACGAACGCUGGCGGCGUGCUUAACACAUGCAAGUCGAGCGGUAAGGCCCUUUCGGGGGUACACGAGCGGCGAACGGGUGAGUAACACGUGGGUGACCUGCCCUCAGCUCUGGGAUAAGCCCGGGAAACUGGGUCUAAUACUGGAUAUGACUCCAUGACGCAUGUUGUGGGUGGAAAGCCUUGUGCGGCUGAGGAUGGGCCCGCGGCCUAUCAGCUUGUUGGUGGGGNGAUGGCCUACCAAGGCGACGACGGGUAGCCGGCCUGAGAGGGCGACCGGCCACACUGGGACUGAGACACGGCCCAGACUCCUACGGGAGGCAGCAGUGGGGAAUCUUGCGCAAUGGGCGAAAGCCUGACGCAGCGACGCCGCGUGA
rnacentral:rRNA from 1 species